rnacentral:rRNA from 1 species
CCUUUGUACACACCGCCCGUCGCUAGUACCGAUUGAAUGGCUUAGUGAGACCUCCGGAUUGGCGAUUUCUUGGUGGCAACACCAUAAAACUGCCGAAAAGCUGGUCAAACUUGGUCAUUUAGAGG